AUGCAAUUUAGGGACGACAUCAAAAGAUCGAUGUAGGAUAAAAAACUUAAAUCAAAUAGUUUGGGGGUAGGGGGUCAACAUUGCUGCAAGUUUUGUUAAUCUAAAAUCGAUUUUACAUAUAUCCAUAUAGGUAAAUCAAUUUUUCCCAAAUUAAGUUAAGAAGGGGGGUAGGGGGGUCAGCGAAAAAAACUAUGUGAAUUAAGUUUUUAAUCCUACAUUGAACUUUUGAUGUAGUCCCUUA
rnacentral:lncRNA from 1 species